rnacentral:rRNA from 4 species
AAAUUGAAGAGUUUGAUCAUGGCUCAGAUUGAACGCUGGCGGCAGGCCUAACACAUGCAAGUCGAACGGUAACAGGAAGCAGCUUGCUGCUUCGCUGACGAGUGGCGGACGGGUGAGUAAUGUCUGGGAAACUGCCUGAUGGAGGGGGAUAACUACUGGAAACGGUGGCUAAUACCGCAUAACGUCGCAAGACCAAAGAGGGGGACCUUCGGGCCUCUUGCCAUCAGAUGUGCCCAGAUGGGAUUAGCUUGUUGGUG